UCAACGUCAUAAACAUUUAACUUAGAUGUUUAUGACGUUGACAUCAACGUCAUAAACAUUCAACUUUGUUGUUUAUGACGUUGA